AUUACUUGGCUUUUAAAACUCUACAGGACAUAGUCCCAUGUGAAACACCAUCUUUUUGUGGGUUCUAGUAACCAAAUUGGUACAAGCCUAGCAAGAAUGCUGACCUGAGAACCUACUCAAGAGGCUCUGAUCUUUUUCAUUAAAGAAAAAUCACUCUCACAGGGUUCUGCUGAGGGUGUGUGAUUACAGAUGUUGCCAAGGAGCACUCCGGGAACCUCUAAUGGGGAGGACACAAGACAAAGCAAAUGGACAGUCAUUUUUCCAAGAGAUGGGCCCCCUGCCAUGAGGAAGUUCUUCAGGCUGCGUAUCCUUUUUGUGUUUUUAUUUGAUCUUUAAUAAAGAAUAUUAAGACUGAGCUGACUGCCUGCUAUAACGCUCUAAACACAGACUUACAUUUGAGAGGCUGAAGGGAGGAAAUGGCAGCCCCGUGGAAAGCAGGGAGCUAAGAAAACAGUAUGCAAUGAACUUCUCACCUCUGCUCCCUGUCUUGAGGCACAGUGAAAACA
rnacentral:lncRNA from 1 species